rnacentral:lncRNA from 1 species
GGGACGUCUGCGGCCUGAGGGAACCCAGCUGAAGUGGGCGAUGAUCCCGGCGACGGAUCCCGUGUGUGAGAGCCCCACCUCCCACGACUGGGAAAGGGGUGUUCCACCACUAAAACUCCAGCUUUCCAUGGAUACUUCAGCAAGGGAGAGAACCUGAAGCACCAGUGGUUAUUUUUACAGUGCUUAAAAAUGUUUCGGCUUACCAGAGAUUGAAGAUGCCUAUCCUGUGGCUGAAGCCAGAGCACCCCACUGCAACUACUCAACAACUUGAGAGAGCCCAGGCCCUUUUCUGUAGACACAAACUAUUCACACACCUGGUCUUGGGAGGGUGAAGAUGCGUUAAGAAGAAAGCAGUGGGAUGUGUGGGAUCCACAAACAGGAAGAGGCUUGUAGCGCAUUAAAGAAAAUGCCAAGUGAAGGCUCUCACCCCAGAACCACCACCCGAGUUCCUAUUCCUGUAGAGAUUUCCACUGUAACAGGCGUUAACUUUUCUAAUCAAAGUAGAAAUGGUUUAACUCUCAAGAGAUGCUCACCUUUUAAUAGAUUCUUGAAGUCCUCAAGGAAAGAGAACAGCAAAAGAAUGUUUGCAGUGACUUGGGGACGGCAAGAGGGCCAGCCCAGCGCCCGCUAAAUCACAGCUUGUAUUGCCAACUCCCUACCUGUAAGACUCAUUGCGCCUGUCACUGGGUGUAUCUCAGACUUUACAAUUUAUGACUCAACCCGCCUGCAACAGGAUAAAUGAAUUGUCAGUGCUCUCUUUAGUUGCCUCCCGUAAACCAAGUCCAUCUUGAAGAGUUUGAGGCAUUGGACAACAUUAAUCAACCAAGAUCUGAAUUCUUCAUUGGACUACAAACUCUUUAGAAGACAAAAGCUAGAUUGUGUUUUUGCUACCUUCCACAUCCUAAAGCUGCGUCACUAGCAGCACAACUGAGAAGUCAGUAACAGCCACGCUCUGGGGCUGUGAGCUAAACCAAUAGAAGCAAAUUUGGACCUUUUAAGCCUUGAAGGAGGGGAAGCAAAACUGGAAGCUGUUGCUUAGUAUGAUUUGCUUGGGGGAAUAGCCAAAGAGAAGAUGAACAUUGUGGAGAUCUAUCCCCAGCAAGCCAGGAGGGCAAGAAGACAUAACCCAUCGCCAUUGCGUCUAUCCUCCCCAGGUACCAUGAUAGAUUGGAGCUUUCUCCUUCAGUUACUUUUCAGCUCCAGACUGCCUCUGGACCUGUGUUCUUCAGUGGCCAGGAAUGUUUUGACACUUUCAACCUGCCCUUCAUACAGGAGCCCUAGGAGGAGGAGGAAGAGGAAGAAGAUGAUGAUGUAGACAUGUCCCUAGAGGAGGUGAUUUAUGUCAUCAAGAGGCUCGUACCCCAGAAGCAGAUGAACUUUGAAGAGGAAAAAAAGGUGGAAAAAGAAGAGAAGAAACGAGACACAGUUUUAAAACAAGAGUCCUGUGAGGAAUACCAAACCUACACUCAGACCUAAAAAGCUGGGAUCCAAGAAAUGAGCCAGGAAUGGCCUGGCUACAGAAACCAAGACAGAAUCUGCAAGUGGGCCUUCCUCAGAGUGUGCUACAGACUUAGGGUGCCCCCCACCAAAGUCUCCCAAGGUGACCAAGGUGUUGUGGGAGGUGCAAUACAAAAGCCCAUCACUCCAGAUAUCAGAUUUCAGCAGGACCAGGAGAGAAAAACCCUGACCUCAGAGCCACAGUAAAGUUUGCUUUACCAGGAAAUUUUUUAAAAAGUAUACAAUACUGGAGUUUCUGUUGUGGCUCAGCAGUAACGAAUCCGACUAGUAUCCAUGAGGAUGUGGGUUCAAUCCUUGGCUUUGCUCAGCGGGUUAAGGAUAUGGUGUUGCCGUGAACUGCAGUGUAGGUCACAGACGUGGCUCAGAUCUGGCAUUGUGUGGCUGUAGUGUAGGCUGGCAGCUACAGCUCUGAUUCAACUCCUAGCCUAGGAAAUUCCAUGAGCUGCAGUAUGGCCCUAAAAAAACAAACAAACAAAAAGCAUACAAUAUUUAGCACAGUAUACUUUACAUUAUAAUGUUUCAGCAAAAUAUUGUUUUGUUUUAUUGAAGUAUAAUUGAUUUAUAAUGUUGUGAUAAUUUCUUCUGUACAUCAAAGUGAUUCAGUUAUACAUGUACACAUACCCAUUCUCUCAGAUUCUUUUCCCACAUAGUUUAUCACAGAUUAUUGGGUAGAGUCCUCAUUAUACAGCAGGUCCCCAUUGUUCAAUCAUUCUAUAUUCCUCAGUGUGCAUAUGCAAAUCCCAAACUACUAGUCCAUUCUUCCCUCCCUGCCCUGUCCACUUUGGUAACAUAUAAGUUUGUUUUCAAAGUCUGUGAGUCUAUUUCUUUUCUGCAAGUAAGUUCAUUUGUAUUCUUUUUUAAAAUUCCACAUAUAAGUGAUAUAUAAUAUUUGUCUUUCACUGUCUAACUUCACUUAGUAUAAUAAUCUCUAGGUCCAUCCAUGUUGCUGCAAAUGGGAUUAUUUCAUUUUUAUGGCUGAGUAAUAUUCCAUUGUGUAUAUGUCCCACAUCUAACUUUAUACCUAAAGCAACUAGAGAAAGAAUUUGAUAAUGAGGUGUAAAAAAAUAUUUUCUCUCAAGUUCAUCAGGUAGUUACUUCUCACUUCCCACCAUUCCACUUAAACUUCUGUCUUACUUUUUUCUCUUUUUCAGUUUUUCUAACACUUUUUCUGCAGAACUGCAUUAUUGUGGGUACAGGGUUGUCCUUUGGGUGAUGAAAAUAUCUUGGAUAUACUUAGAGGUGAUGGUUGCUCAGUAUAGUGAAUGUGCUAAAUGCAACUGAAUUGUACACGUUUUUUAAAAAGUUAAUGGUUGAUUUAUGUUCUGUGAAUUUCACCUUAAUUUAAAAAAUGCACUACUUGAGUUAGUAACAGAGACCCUUUGGCUUGUAAACAGUCUCACCCUGUCUUUUAAAAUGCUGCUAAUGCUUGUCUUUCAUGGAUUUAGCUAUUUCACCUUUCUCCCAUAUGCCAUUGAAAACAACAAAAGGUUGGUCUAGGCAACUGUCCAAAGGCCUUGUGGAACUCAGCAGUGAGGCCAUCAACAUUUGGUCAUAAGUUCUUGUUUAACUGUAAUUUCUACUAGUAAGUUGUUUUUGCUCAUUUAAUGACACUCUCCUAUCAGUGCUCAUUCUUUCUCCUCCUUUUUCUCACUGUCUUUUCUUGCUCUUGAAUCAGUUCCAUGAAGAACAUUGUCACUUGUCUCUUGGAGACUUUUUAAGAUGAUACUAUUAGACGUCUUCAGUCUACUGUAUGUUCUUAUAAAAUAUAGAUUAAGGAUUUUGAGGGGUAGAGAGAGAUAAUUCUUGGCACUGGUUAUAAAUAAAGACUGGAUAUAUAGUUAGAUGGAGAGUAAGUUUAUUGUAACUUGUUCCUGAUACAGACCUGAUCAUUUCUACUCCUUUUUAUUUUUGUUGAGGAGGGGUAGAAAAUCAACCUUCAGAUAUAGAAGGCAGAAAAAUUUUCCUUCUUGUGGAUUUUUGGAACCAGGCAGCCUCUGUUCAGAUCCUGGUGCUGUCAGAUUCUAGCUGUGUGAUCUUAGGUCUGUCAUUUGGGCAAGUCACUUUCCUCAUGUGAAAACUUGGGAAAACAAUAGUGCCUACCUUCUAAGGUCCUUGUGGAGAUUGAAUCUGAUGAUGUAUAUAAAUGUCCCUUGAGAGCACUCAUGGGCAUGUGUGUGAGCAUUUGUGUUCACACUUAUUCUUUUUCUAGUUCUCCCCUAGUAUCAUAAAUUACUCCACCUUCUUUAUUACAAACAUUGAGUAACAAAUACUUCUGCCCCCUGCCUGGGGCAAUGGCUCUUUCUCCUAUCCCUACCAUGUGUAAAUACAUGCCAGUCAAGGAAGCACCCAGGAAGGAAAUUGAACAUAGACUAUAUUUGAUGAGUUUCAAAAUUACAAGGAAAAAAAAAUAGCAGUAGGUGUCAGAUUCUAGAAGAAAAGGAAAAGCAACAUCUCUGUGGUAAACCAUAUAAUUCCUCUUUGUGAUCUUUAUUUCUUGGUAGGAAAUUUUUUUCAUUGUACACAAAUAACACAGGGAGCUUAAAUAUUGUGUAGAAAUUGGUUAUAACUGCUGUAUCCCUUUAAUUUAGGGAGGGGAGGAGGGAAAGCCUUGAACUGUAGAUGAAAGUUAUUCCGCAUGUUAAAUAAGAAAAUACAGAUUUGAGUUGUGCAAUAUUUCUGAUUUGGUUUUAACAUGAAGGGGAAAUUGCCUGAUGUGUUAUCAGGAGGCAGCAAGGUUCAGGGAAAGAGCUCUGGAAUGGGGAUCAGGAGACACAGGUCUUGGCCCUGCUAAGUGACCUUGACUGGCCCCUUCUCCCAGCUGGGUCUGUUUAUUGAUAAGGAAAAUGUAAGCACUGAAUCAAACCUCCCCCCACCUUUUUUAACUCAAAAACUGCUUUUUACAGAACAACUCCACUCUCCAGGAAUUUUACAAAUAUUUUAUCACUUUUUGUGGUAGAUUAUGAACUGGUUUUAGGUUAAAAAAGCAUUUUAGGGAGUUCCCGUCGUGGAUCAGUGGAAACAAAUCCAACUAGUAACCAUAAGGAUAUGGGUUCAAUCCCUGGCUUUACUAGGUAGGUUAAGGAUCUGGUGUUGCCUUGAGCUGUGGUGUGGGUUGCAGAGAUAGCUCGGAUCCCCCUUUGCUGUGUGGGCCAGCAGCUGUAGCUCUGAUUCAACCCCUAGCUUGGGAACUUCCAUGUGCCACAGGUUCAGCCCUAAAAAGGAAAAAAAAAUUAGUAUUUUAAUAAAAAUGUAUUAAGAUAAUUUUAAUAAAACCACUAAUAUAUAGCCAGAAUCCUAUAUUUCCUUUUGUGGCAACAUUGGAUUAGAAAAACACCGAGUCACAUUAUCGCUGUAUCAGUGUUUCAUUUAAAAUAUAUUUUUUUCAGGAGUUCCCGUCGUGGCGCAGUGGUUAAUGAAUCCAACUAGGAACCAUGAGGUUGUGGGUUCGGUCCCUGCCCGUGCUCAAUGGGUUAACGAUCUGGCGUUGCCGUGAGCUGUGGUGUAGGUUGCAGAUGCGGCUCGGACCCAGCGUUGCUGUGGCUCUGGCGUAGGCCGUACGGCUCCAAUUAGACCCCUAGCCUGGGAACCUCCAUAUGCCGCGGAAGCGGCCCAAAGAAAUAGCAAAAAGACAAAAAACAAAAAAAACAAACAAAAAAAA